GUCUUGAAUCCUGGAAUUUUCCAUAUGAAUGUCUUAAAUUUCAUGUGGGAUCUUAAAUUUCAUGUCCGACUCGUCAUUUUUAUUUAUUUUUUUCAACCGCAAUUUGACCAGCGUAACAUUUGGGGGCAGCACUUCGUGGGUGCAACCUGCAUCAUUCCAUAGGUGACAUACGAGUAAGUGAUUGAUGAACGCGUUGCGAUGAUGGUUCGCCACCACGGCAGUUUGCGAAAUCGCAAGCAUGGGCAAAGACGAUAAAGCUGUGGACAAGACCAUGAUUGUCAGGUCUCGCUAUCUUGGUUCUCAGUUUUUGAGCCCCUCAACGGCAGAAGACUUGCUGUAGCACUUUAAGGAGGGCACCAAGGAACUUAAUUUAAGGAACAUGCUUUCUGUGUCAAUGGAUGGACCCACAGUAAAUUGGAAAGUCAUGGAUCUCCUACAACUGGAACAUGCAAUAAAUUUCUGAUCCUGAUCUUUCCUA